GUUGAUAUAAAUUCAGUCCAAACCAUCUGUGACUCAUUUUGAAAACAAAGAGAAUAAUUGAACCCAAACGAACCAUGCACUGACAUCUAUCCCAUAAUUUCAAACUCUAUUCUGACAUUAGUCCCUAUUGUUUUGGAUCCCAGAGCCCUGUUA